CGCGUGGGCGGCUCAUAAAGGCUGUGGUGAAAGUUCGGGGCUCAACCUCGAAUCGGCCGUGGCGACUUGUGGGCUGGAGCACUGUAGAGGCAGGUGGAAUUCCGGGUGUAGCGGUGGAAUGCGUAGAGAUCCGGAAGAACACCAGUGGCGAAGGCGGCCUGCUGGGCAGUGGCUGACGCUGAGGCGCGACAGCGUGGGAGCAAACA
rnacentral:rRNA from 1 species